UCCAUACACCAUUCAUUCUAAUUCUUCAUUAUCAGUGCAUAUAUUUUUACAUAGUUUCUGUUUUCAUCACAUUAUCUUGCAUUCAUUGAUUAGAUUUAGUAGAUACAUGCAUUAUUAGUUAGUUUCAUAUUUUUAAACCCGCUGCUGAGGAGGUCGAGCCACGCGCUAAUACUUCUCCCGUGAAGGUCAAAGACAGUGUUGUGAUUGUCCUAGAGCUGGUGCACCUCAUCCAACAAGAAGCAAUUGUGGUGGUCAUUGAGGCAACGACUAUCCAUUCUCCAUUAUCGCUUUUGGCUGCCCUAGUUGCCGACCUCCAUAGCUGGUGCACCUCAUCCAACAAGAAGCAACUGUGGUGGUCAUUGAGGCAACGACUAUGCAUUCUCCAUUAUCGCUUCUGGUCGCCCCCUGCCACUGCUGACCUCUAGAUUUGGUGCACCUCGUCCAGCGACAAACAUAGUGAGCAUUGAGGCAACAAAUUCCACACAACCACCACAUGCUACCCUUCUAUAAAGCUUAGUCAUGAGUGUGAGGUCCACACACCAGACUACGAUGACCAAAAAACCACUACAUUUCUUCCCGUGGUCUCAUGGGCUCCUCUAGUCUCAAUUUUAUCCUUCUUUAGGACUUCAAACCUUGUCUUAGUUGUGGAUUAUAAAAGAAAUCAUAUGUUAGACUUCUAAAAAAUCUUUAGUUGAGAUUGUUAGAUGACGUUUGUAGAAAUCAUAACCUUUCUAGACUUUAACCCGAG
rnacentral:sRNA from 1 species